AUCUUUGUGGUUGGGGCAGUGACGCAGCCAGUGAGGUUCUAAUCAAGGCGUGUCUAUUGCUUGUUGAAAACUAUCUCCAAACUCUCUCUUCGGCAUGGGCUUGACUCUGGCCGUCAAGAAGUUUUGGAAGGACUUCCAAGGGAAAGUC